GACGAACGCUGGCGGCGUGCUUAACACAUGCAAGUCGAACGGAAAGGCCCUUCGGGGUCCUCGAGUGGCGAACGGGUGCGUAACACGUGGGUGAUCUGCCCUGCACUUUGGGAUAAGCCUGGGAAACUGGGUCUAAUACCGAAUAGGACCACGCGCUUCAUGGUGUGUGGUGGAAAGCUUUUGCGGUGUGGGAUGGGCCCGCGGCCUAUCAGCUUGUUGGUGGGGUAAUGGCCUACCAAGGCGACGACGGGUAGCCGGCCUGAGAGGGUGACCGGCCACACUGGGACUGAGAUACGGCCCAGACUCCUACGGGAGGCAGCAGUGGGGAAUAUUGCACAAUGGGCGCAAGCCUGAUGCAGCGACGCCGCGUGAGGGAUGACGGCCUUCGGGUUGUAAACCUCUUUCAAUAGGGACGAAGCGAAAGUGACGGUACCUAUAGAAGAAGCACCGGCCAACUACGUG
rnacentral:rRNA from 1 species